GGGGGGGGGGGUGAUUACUUUACAUUUGCACCAUGCACAAUUUCUUAAUUAUGGAACCAACCCAAGCAUUAAUCUCACAUUGUGGUUCUCGUAUAGGCCAACCAACCAUAUGGCUACUCAAUUUUUGCCAUAGGUAUACAUGUGAUCCUAAAAUCCAAAAUGUUACAGGUACUCAGACUUUCCUUGCAUUAGUGACCUUGAUAACACCGCUACUCAGAAUUCCUCGUCAUCCAUGGCUCAAAACCCCAUCACGACGC
rnacentral:lncRNA from 1 species